rnacentral:lncRNA from 1 species
UUCGGAGGAGGGGCCCCGAUGCCCCGGUGAGGAGCUGCGAGCGGCUGGAGAUUGUUGGUGGUCGGCGAGGGAGAGGGAGGCCGAAGAAGCAUUGGGGAGAGGUGAUUAGGCAGGACAUGACCAGAAUGCAGGUUUUCGAGGACAUGACCCCUGAUAGGGGAGUCUGGAGGUCUAGAAUCACGAUUGUAGGCUAGGGGCUCAUAGAGUUCUUCGUACGCCUCUCCCGGGGUUGGGUGGGAUAGUAAGGUUACCCAUAGGUGAUUAGUGUUUUAGCUUAUGUCCCCAUAUGGUUGUUAGUAUGGUAGUUNNN